AUCGCACCUCAUCUUCUUCGAGCUUACCUUUGCCCUCUGUUUUGAGAGAAUCGUGCCCCAAUUGGUAAAUGUGGUCGUCUGAAACGCGGACGGAAUUCGCGCGUAACGUCACAGCUUGGACAAUUCGGUUCGAUUCGCCUGUGACGUCGGGAGUGCCGCUUUAAGUAUCGCGCGAUUUUCGUAUUCAGGUACGCAUGCGAGCAAAGCGUGCGUCGCGACGCGUGUGUGAGUGCUUUAGAGGAUUACUAAAAGAAGGAGGAGGUCUAGGAGAGGCAUCGGGCGACAGAAGAGCAACAAUAUGGUCCGUUCUCGUCGAGAUUUCUUUUUUACAUGAAGAUGUAAAUACUUCAGCAACCGUCCCGUACGAGGGUCAUCGAGCGGUUAAACUACAUGCGCUACAUAAGAUGCCCAGCUGCUGGAGUGAAUGCGUGAAGGAAGCAAGGGACGUCUGAAAGGAGUUGAGAAUCGUCGGAGGAGGGAGGAGUCGAAG